rnacentral:rRNA from 1 species
AUGUGGGAAACAACCAAACCGCUUGCAACACGUGUUCCCGCGGGUCCACCCUUAUCUGUACCCUUUUCUCCUCCCAUCGUCCACCCUUCGUCUUCCACCUCCGUCUUCGUUGCUUUCCCUUCCCCCAUCUUUACAGUUUACACGGAGAGAGCUUCUCCAAUACUGCGGCUCCUGUCCAAGCUCCUCCCUAUCCUGGUAGCAGAGCCAUUGCCCACCUCUUCUCCCCGCUCCGUUGCAGCUGUGCUGCUAUGGCCAGAUGCUACAGGAGUUGGAGACGCUUGCAAUCUACAAAGCUACAACCAUCAACGUCAAAAGCUACAACCGGUGUUGCCGAAAGCUGCAACCAGUCAUAAAAAAAGUUUUGACCCGUUAGUAAAAAGCUUCGGCCGGUGA